rnacentral:misc_RNA from 1 species
AACUUUUAACAAUGGAUCUCUUGGCUCUCGCAUCGAUGAAGAACGCAGCGAAAUGCGAUACGUAAUGUGACUUGCAGAAUUCAGUGAAUCAUCGAAUCUUUGAACGCACCUUGCGCCCCUUGGCAUUCCGAGGGGCACACCCGUUUGAGUGUCGUGAAAUCAUCAAAACCUUUUCCUUUGGGAAAAGGAUUUUGGACUUUGAGGUUCCAUGCUCGCUUUCUUUUGAAAGCGCGCUCCUCUCAAAUGAAUCAGUGACGUCCGCUUUGCCGAUCCUUGACGUGAUAAGAUGCUUCUACGUUUUGGAUUUGGCACUGUCCCUUGGACGCCUGCUCCUAACCGUCCCCAUGGACAAUGAUGGUGCUCCGGUCGACCGCGGCUCGACCCACGAAAAGAAAACCUUGACCUCAAAUCGGGUGAGACUACCCGCUGAACUUAAGCAUAUCAAUAAGCGGAGGCU